rnacentral:lncRNA from 1 species
AUGACUACGACAACAACGACGACGACGACAACAACGAGAAGGACAACGACAACACCGACGACAACAACGAGGACUACGACAACGACGACGACGACAACAACAACGAGGAGAACAACGACAACAACGACUACAACAACAACGACUACAACAACGACGACAACGACAACGAGGAGGACAACGACAACACCACCAACAACAACGACAACAAGGAGGACGACGACGACAACAAGGACGACGAUGACUACGACUACAACGACUACUACGACCACAACGACGACGACCACAACAACAACGACAACUACUACCACGACGACGACAACUACUACCACGACGACGACCACCACCACCACCACCACCACAACCACAGAAAGUACAGUCGUCCCCGAGACUACAGUGCCCAUUGUUGUCACCCAGAGCCCGGUUCCUCUCUUGUACCCAACACUUGUCCCAUCCCUGGUUGUGGUCCCGUUGCUGCUUAUCUGCAUCUGCUGCUACAAGAGGGUCAUCAAGGAGCCACCAUCAGUCCAGAAUCCAAAAAAAGGAAAACUGGAUGUUUUUUAUCACUUUCUUCAGCGCUGCAGCCUGGUGCCAUGGAUGUGGUGUCAACCCAGGGACAUGGGGAGGUGCAUCGACUUUGCCUUAAUGAGUCCUCACUGCAUGCCAAUGCUCUAUGGCUCAGAGACCUGCCUUCAACCCAGUCAAGAGUGCCUCCCCCUCAAUAUCUGCUGCUCACGUUGUCAGCAUCCCCCACCGAUAUGCUCUCAGCCACCGUCCAGGAUGUUACCGCUGAUCCCUCCCCCAGAGGUCUACAGAAGUACUUUAUCUCUCCCGCCCCCAUAGCUCAACAUCUAAAGAACUUAAAACUGAAAAUUAGGAGCCCCUUUUGUACCAAAUUAGACAUAUAUAUAUAUAUAUAAUACAAUAUAUAUCUUGUGUUUUGGAUUACAGUCAAAAGGAGCUGGAAUUAGUUUCUGAUCAGCAGGAGAGUUUCUUGCCUGGGGAGCACUGCUCCUCUGUAUGAGACGCAACUGUACUCAUCUACCAGGACAAGGCACCCUGGUGUCCUGUGGAUGUAGACGUGAUGAGUCCCAUUCCCACAAGACAGACCUCCAUCUGUCACCAAGCGUUGAGAUGCAUGGGGUGUUAGACGAAAUAUGCUCUUUCAAGAAAGCCCCAAAUAUCUGAUAUAUGGAAAUAGUCUGGUGUCCAUUACUCACUUGCUGUUACUUAAUCUCCUGGGUGAGUUACGUAAUCUCCCUGUACUUCAGUUUCCUUACUGAAAAGAUGUGGAUAAUGGUGUCUCUUCUAAAAAGAGGGCGACAGUAACUGCUGCAACAUGCUCAGCACAAGGCCAGGUCACUUGUAAAGACUCAGGGGCCCAGGUCUUUAAGGUCUUCUCUGCUUCACCAGGGAAGGAGACAGUGAUGAGCUCAGAGACAUCAGCAAGUGUGUGGUGAGUGAAAAGAUGUUAGAAAAAAUCAUCACUGGAACUUUAAGCACUGGAUACCAUGACAAAGGGUUGGCAUACAUGAGAAUUCUCUGAAAACUGUUAACCACAGGAAGUUAACAUCAAAGGCCACCACCCAUGUAAUCUCCAAGAUACCAUCAGAAAAGGUCCUUCCACCACUAUGUCCUUGACAAACAUGAGUUCCCUUCGUGUACCUUAAUUUUUCUCAUAGAGUUAAUUCCUAGUUUCCAAUUUCCUAUCAGCUCCUCUGAUUUUUCCUAUCAGCUCCCAAUUUUCCAGGUCCCUUCUGAAGAAGCCUUUGAAGACAUAAUCAGGUUUCUUUGCACACUUAUAUGCUAGAGGACUAUCAGUAGACAAAAAUUCAUUGUGAAGAUCACACAACAUGUUUAUGAAGAUGAAUCAAUACCCUGGACCAAAGAGUCCCAGAUGAGUAGAAGUGGCUACUACCUCAAAUGUGUACAUACCAGUGCAACAAACAAGGGACCAUUAAGAAUCAAGUAAACAUGAGAAGAUGAAAAGAAGUGAAUAAAAUUCCCUAAAGAAAUAGAGAUCUAUGAACU